CUGGAGGUAUCAGAAGUGCGAAUGCUGACAUAAGUAACGAUAAAGCGGGUGAAAAGCCCGCUCGCCGGAAGACCAAGGGUUCCUGUCCAACGUUAAUCGGGGCAGGGUGAGUCGACCCCUAAGGCGAGGCCGAAAGGCGUAGUCGAUGGGAAACAGGUUAAUAUUCCUGUACUUGGUGUUACUGCGAAGGGGGGACGGAGAAGGCUAUGUUGGCCGGGCGACGGUUGUCCCGGUUUAAGCGUGUAGGCUGGUUUUCCAGGCAAAUCCGGAAAAUCAAGGCUGAGGCGUGAUGACGAGGCACUACGGUGCUGAAGCAACAAAUGCCCUGCUUCCAGGAAAAGCCUCUAAGCAUCAGGUAACAUCAAAUCGUACCCCAAACCGACACAGGUGGUCAGGUAGAGAAUACCAAGGCGCUUGAGAGAACUCGGGUGAAGGAACUAGGCAAAAUGGUGCCGUAACUUCGGGAGAAGGCACGCUGAUAUGUAGGUGAAGUCCCUUGCGGAUGGAGCUGAAAUCAGUCGAAGAUACCAGCUGGCUGCAACUGUUUAUUAAAAACACAGCACUGUGCAAACACGAAAGUGGACGUAUACGGUGUGACGCCUGCCCGGUGCCGGAAGGUUAAUUGAUGGGGUCAGCGCAAGCGAAGCUCUUGAUCGAAGCCCCGGUAAAC
rnacentral:rRNA from 1 species